CUGGUAUAGCUGGUCAGGCAGGAUUCCCUGGACCAAUGGGUCCAAAAGGUGAUCGGGGGGAACCUGGACUACCAGGAGACUCUAUCAAGGGUCAAAAGGGUGAACCUGGCCUGAUCGUAGACUCCAGUGGUAGGCCCAGUUACAUUGGGGGGGCUGACUGGACAGCUGGUG